AGCGAACGCUGGCGGCAUGCCUAACACAUGCAAGUCGCACGGGGGGGCUUCGGCCUCCCAGUGGCGGACGGGUGCGGAACGCGUAGGGACCUGUCGAGGGGUGGGGGAUAACCGCGGGAAACUGCGGCUAAUACCGCAUGACGCCGCGGCGUGACAGCCGGGGCCAAAGGCGAAAGCCGCCAGCCGAGGGGCCUGCGUCCGAUUAGCUGGUUGGCGGGGUAGCGGCCCACCAAGGCGUCGAUCGGUAGCUGGUCUGAGAGGGUGAUAAGCCACACCGGGACUGAGACACGGCCCGGACUCCUACGGGAGGCAGCAGUGGGGAAUAUUGGACAAUGGGCGCAAGCCUGAUCCAGCAAUGCCGCGUGGGUGAAGAAGGUCUUCGGAUUGUAAAGCCCUUUCGGCGGGGACGAUGGUGACGGUACCCGCAGAAGAAGCCCCGGCUAACUUCGUG
rnacentral:rRNA from 1 species